rnacentral:rRNA from 1 species
GGCGGGUGAGUAACACGUGGAUAACCUACCUAUAAGACUGGGAUAACUUCGGGAAACCGGAGCUAAUACCGGAUAAUAUAUUGAACCGCAUGGUUCAAUAGUGAAAGACGGUUUUGCUGUCACUUAUAGAUGGAUCCGCGCCGCAUUAGCUAGUUGGUAAGGUAACGGCUUACCAAGGCAACGAUGCGUAGCCGACCUGAGAGGGUGAUCGGCCACACUGGAACUGAGACACGGUCCAG